rnacentral:rRNA from 1 species
UACGAAGGGUGCAAGCGUUAAUCGGAAUUACUGGGCGUAAAGGGUGCGUAGGCGGUUAGUUAAGUCUGUCGUGAAAUCCCCGGGCUCAACCUGGGAAUGGCGAUGGAUACUGGCUAGCUAGAGUGUGUCAGAGGAUGGUGGAAUUCCCGGUGUAGCGGUGAAAUGCGUAGAGAUCGGGAGGAACAUCAGUGGCGAAGGCGGCCAUCUGGGACAACACUGACGCUGAAGCACGAAAGCGUGGGGAGCGAACAGG